rnacentral:snoRNA from 1 species
GUGACGACUCCAGGCUAACUGACUUAUGACGAGGGAUCUAAACGCUGA